GCCCUCUUAGCUCAGUUGGUAGAGCGCGGCACUAGUAUACCAUACGAGAUGCCGAGGUCGCCAGUUCGACUCUGUCAGAGGGCA